CCACUGGGGACGUUUCCCUCCUUCCAUGAAAACAAGAAUGAAAUCUCUGUUGCUUUUCCUUUCCCUGCUCUCCGCCCCCACCUGUGUCCUGUCUCAGGUGCGGCUGGUGCAGUCGGGCCCGGGAAUAGUGAAUCCCGGAGAGACCUUCACACUGACCUGUGCUGUCUCUGGUGUACCCAUCAAUGACUUGAGCUACAGUUGGAACUGUAUCCGGCAGCCCCCCGGGAAAGGGCUGGAGUGGAUGGGGUAUGUGUACCCGUAUAACAGCAGGGAGACAGGCUACGCCCCGUCUCUCCAGGGCCGAGUCACCAUCUCUGCAGACACCGCCAAGAACCAGGUUUCCCUGCAGCUCCGCUCGCUGACAGCUGCAGACACCGCCGCCUAUUACUGCGCCAGGCACACAGUGACAAAGACCAGAGCAGGGACUCGUAUAAAAAGGGGAAGCGGUUUCUAAGCAGCCUCGUGAGGCCAGAAAAGAGGGAUAGCUGAGCCCCUCAGAGAUAAAGACACACAGUAGAUUGAAUAUGAAUAACCUACAUACUAAUAAAAACAACGAGGAGUCCCCGUGACACCUAGACUAACACAUUUAUUUGGGCAUAAGCUUUCGUGGGAUAUUACCCACUUCAUC